CAUUCUAGCUGUGCUUUAGAAAAAAUACUCCUUGUGUGUGCAUGCAUGCGUAUGUGUGCGUGUAUGUGUGUGCACAUGGUGGGGAACAGAAGGGGAGAAACAGGAGGCUGGAAAGAAGACUUUUGCAUCGCCCAGACAAUACACGAUGACGGCUUAGACGAGGGUGGUUGCACUGGGAGUGGUAAGAAACGGUGGAUUCCAAGUAUAUUUUGAGAGCAAAGCUGACAUGAUUUGUGACGAAUUGGAGGUAGGAGAAGCUUGAAGUCUUUUGGCUGGGUUAAUAGAAAGGAAGGGGUUGCCAUCUGCUGAGCAGGAGAUGAUUGAGAGAAGCAGGUUUGGGUGGGGUGGAGUGGGGGAGUCAGGGGUUCACGUUCCAGCAUGUCAAACCGGAGGAGCCUCUAAGACGUCCCGGUGGAAAUGCGGUGGUUAAUUACUUACCUUCCUGUGCCUGGUGAGGUCGUUGGUAGAUUGGCGCUGUUAACAAUGCCCGUCUCCCCCGCGGAGGACUGCUGCGAGGAGUCAGAGUUAGCAGCUUAAAGGACUUGGCCAGAGCUCACGGUAACCACUCAGAUGUUAUUGUCAUGAAUAGCCUUGGUGAAUUCACAUUUUCUUAGAAAAUUUGAAAAGGAAAUACCACGUACUUGAGUGCAAUAGAGCCCAUCCGUAGAGUCAUAGAAUUAGAGGCAGAAGUGAAAUUCUACCCUUAUUUUAAGGCUGAGAUGACCGACGCAUGGCCAGGGACCAGGAGGCUCGUGGCGCGUCUAGAAUCCAGGUCUGGAUUCCAGGGCUUCGGCCCCUCCAGCCUGUCAUUCUCCCAUGACAUAAUGCUUCCCAUGAAGCAGUUUUCCCCCAGGGUCUCGACGUUAAAGGGUGUUUGCUAACAACCCAAGAUGAUUUAAUGCCUAGCAAGGCUUCUCGAAGAGCAGGGAGCAAUCUGGGCCCUGGGAGAAGGCAGCGUGUGGGUGAGGUUCACAUCUCACGCCCUGCUUAGAAGUGAGAGGUGUGGGAGGAAGUGACCUAAGGCAGUCAUAACCCCCAGGGGACCCGGCCUCAGCAUCCCCCACCCCCGCUAGGAAGGCUCUUUUCUGUUGUGAGGAUAUCACAGGAUCCAGCGUCCUCUGUCACAUGGGCCCGCUCCGCCAGGGGGAAGGGGUGACACGACAGAGGUGGCAGUAAAGUCAGGGCUCCCGAGUGGCUCCUCUUCCUCCCAUCUCAUCUCCUCUUGCCCUUCACCCCCCGCCCCCAACUUCCAGGUUAAUGCUGCCCAGGAAUUACAUGCGUCUGAUCUUUUCCAUUCAUCUUCAGAGGGCAAUUAAUGCAUAAUUUAUUCUUGAGCCCUUUUGAGAGUCUGAAGUUGCUGUUGAAGGGCUUUGUGGCAGGCCUGGAAAUGAGGGCAUCAGAGCCUUUUCCAUUAAGGCCCCAUCGCAGCUGUGCGCACAGGAAAGCUGAAGGCUGGAGUAUUCCCAGGGCUUUCUAACUCCUCCCAGAGUGAGGACUUUGAACCCAAGGAGAGGAGCAGCCUCUCCCCUUGCCCGUGGGAACAUGCUCUCUGCCCACGGGGCUCAUAGCCAAGCUCUCCUCCCUCCAUGAGCCCCAGGCUCUGCCUUGUGGUCUAGCCCAGCGCGUCUUGGGACGCUAGGGGCAGUGGGCAGCAGGCUGAGUGUUGAGAGACCCCAGAGGCCAAGGGGCCAGCUUCUGCUUCCCUGCCCACAACCACCCCCACAACCCCUAACUUGGUAACAAAUGCUAAUUUUGUUUGUAGCAGAAAUGUUACAAAUUCCUAAUGAACCAAUGAGAAGGAAGAGAAGCUGACUGACUGGGGCUUUUGGGAGAGCUAUUGCUUUUCUUUGCUUUUUUUAAAAAAAAUUCUAUUGGAGUAUCUUUGACUCGCAUAUUGUAUUGGUUUUGGGUGUACAGCAACAUUAUUCACUUAAACAUAUACAUAUAUCUGAACUAUUGCUUUUCUGAUUAAAAAAAAAAAAAGCGCAGUGUCCAGAGUAGAGAUUUUGAUCAUGAUACUGAAAGGCCCCAACUAAGGAUGGCAAAGCAGAGGGACCCAGGGAGUCGGGGGCCAGUCGUCCCUACAGAUGUGCUGGACCAGUACCUCACCUGGACCUCUUAUGAGUGAGAGGAAACCGUCCCCCCUUGAGUAAGCUGAGGUCUGGGAGCUUUGUUCUUGCCCCUGAGAGCAGUCCGAACGGCGGCCUGUGUCUCCCAGCUGCAGGUGGAAGCUUGGCUGCUGUGUGGCCUUAGGAACUGCACUUGAACUCUAAGCCCCAGCUGCCCCAUUUCUAACAUGAGGACAGUAGUCUCUUCCCUGCACACGGGUCCUUAGUGCGUUCCAGGGACUUCCGUAAGUGUCCCUAGGCUAGGCCUUGCCCCUCUAUUGUGUGGGGGGAAGCAUGAUGUGGAACAAGGCAGGAGGGAGCGUCUGGAGGGGGCAGGAGUGAACAGGCCAAGAGAGGCACUGUCUCGAGGACAGAUCAGUCUCUGAGUCCAGCACCAGGAAGCAGACCCAAAGGUGUGAAUUCACCUGAGGCAGGCUCAGCUAAGCUUCCUGGGCAGGAAACCAGGGCCUGUGUGUGGGUGGGCCUGGUGCGCAGGUGAGGCUGCAGCUGGGAGGUGAGGAUGCUGGGGCUGUUGGUGGGUCUUCACACUUCCCCUGUAAGGAUGAUGAAAGAAGUGUGUGAGUCUCUGUGUGUGCGCGCAUGUGCAGAGUUCCCGUCGUGGCGCAGUGGUGAACAAACCCAACUAGGAGCCAUGAGGUUGUGGGUUCGAUCCCUGGCCUUGCACAGUGGGUUAAGGAACCGGUGUUGCUGUGAACUGUGGUGUGGGUCGCAGACGCAGCUCGGAUCUGGCGUGGCUGUGGUUCUGAUGCAGGCCGACGGCUAUAGCUCCGAUUGGACCUCUAGCCCGGGAACCUCCAUUUGCCACAGGUGUAGCCC
rnacentral:lncRNA from 1 species